GUUCUUCUCUCACUCGUAGGAGGGCUUCUUCGAAGGUAUCGGCCACGACCUAGAACGUUGGUCUGACCAAUCAAGAACGAGGUACCGACGACCAAGAGAAGGGGGGAGACAAAGGAGUAAUGCAAAGAGGUUUUAGACGCAGGGAUUACGCACAAAAGGUUAGAGGAGGCCUUGGACUACACCUAAAGCGGGAUAGGCGACUAGGAUUGCCCUAUUAGUAUCAAAAUGACGAGGGUUCCGGAGGAGGAUCAGAAAGAUUUAGUGAAGAGACUUCGAGAAGCGAAAAGGACAUCAUUUUAUGAGGAUGAAGAAGAGUCGUAGAAUUGUCUUUUUUUAUAAAAUUUUAACGAUCACGAGACAUCUGAACUAACUACUCACCUAAUUUUCUUGUUAUUUGUUUUGGAGAAGACUUCGGAAAAGUGACACAACGACCAACGAUCGACGAGGAGACGUACACGACGUCCAUCCGAAUGUACUGGCCAUCCAAAGGACGUCCGUCCGAGGGGCGUGACGUAGAUGGAAAGGAAAAAAAGGGUAGUAACCGGAGGGACAAGGAACGUGAAGUAUCGGGUCGACGAAAAGAAUAGGAUGUAUAAAAAUAUAGACUCUAAAGGAAACGACGAUAGUCUUCAAGAAAAAAAUUUCUUAUUAAUGUAGUCUCCAAGUUUCGUAAUAAUAAAGGUAUCAACCGGGACAGACCGUAGCGUGUACGGGACGAACGGAGUAGACUUCGGCUUAGUCCGACACGACGUGAUAGGAACCGUCCUCCGUGUAAACAAAUGCCUCGUCAGAGAAGAGCAACGGUUAGUUUAAAUUUUAUGGUACGGCGUACGUCUACUUCGUGUCAAGGAGUCGACUAAAACAACAAACUAAGAACGGUAGAGGAGACAAACGAACGAAGCCGUACGUCGCACGGGAGACGCCACUUCACUUCGCUUAGCGGUCAGCUGUGAACACUACUAGACUCGGUACUCGGUCAAGCACGGUCUAACCCCCUUGUACCCCCUGUAGAGGUCCGGUGAGCCGCUUCUGCUACUGGAGUACCUCGACGACACCACGUUGCCGUUACAGCAGUACGUCUCGGUCCCAGUAGCCUUCGACGGCGGCUCCGGACUCUUCCAGGGCCGCGGCGGCCACCACGUUCUUCUGCUACGGCCGGAGACCAAGGGCAAGCGCGAGCGGCUGAGCGAGCUGUUCCUGUAGAAGGUCCUGGAAAAGACGCUCCUUGGUGGCCCCCGCCGGCCGCAGCUGCCGCGGCCGUUCUAGCCGUCCCUGCCACAUGGUCAUAAUCCCCUACUGUCCGCGUCGUCGGUCAGCAGGCGCCACAGCCGCCGCUCGCUGGACUACGGGGGAGGGUUCAGGUGCGUGCAGAGGACGAGGUCGUCCGUCGUUAGCUACUCGGACCGGCUGACGCCGCUGUUGCGGCCGCCGCAGGACAGCCUGGAGCAGGUCCGAGCGCGGCCCUUCCGCCGCUACCUCCUCCCGCGCAGCAGCUGCGACUCGCGCUACCCCCGCUCGAAGACGCCCUCGUUGGUCCACGUCCACGUCCCGCGCCACUCGCUCGUCCCCGCGCGGCCGGUGUGGUGACGGAUACCGCCGCCGCCUCGCCCGUCGCGAGACGGAAGCCGCCAUCCCUCGCCUUUACGUUUGCGGUCUCCGUCCCCGGUGCUCCGGUGGCACCGGAGGAGCAGCCCGGCCAGGUUGAUGUCGAAGCCGCACUGGUGGUGGUGACCGUGGCUCGGCUGCUCGUGCUCGGUGGCCUCGUCGUUCGCGUUCGCCCCCGACCUGUGCCUCCUGAGCCUCUCGGGGUCGCUCCUGCGGCUCAGCCUCAGCAACCGCGAACUCGCGUUCGGCGGCGUCUUCGAGUGCUGCCGCUCCUCCUCGGCGCGGCGGCUCCACGUGUUGGAGAGGCUCUCCUCCUCUGCUCUGUCCUAGUUGCUCUUCUACGCUCGCGACGUUCUCGAGUAUGGGGUGACGUUGUUCUGACUGUUCCGCAGCUACGACCUGCUCCGCUAGCUCAUGGACUUCUGCGACGUCUACGUCCACGUCUACUACACCUACCCGCCGCCAUACCGCGGCGGCCGCCACUACAAGGGCCCGUACGUCUACGUGGUCAUGGACGGCGUCUACCCCGGCGGCAGGUACCGCGCCUACGGGAAGUACCGCGGCGGCGUCGUCCCGGUGCCGCACUCGGACGGCCUCGUCAUGCGCGUGAAGGAGCCGCAGUUGGGGGUGGUGGACGUCGGCGGGAGGGUGGUGGGGGUGGUGGUGGUCGUAAAGCGCGUCCCCCACCCGAUGAUGGGCGAUCCCCGCUUCCGGGACGUCGUCUCAGGCCGCGAGGUGGUGCACGGGUUACCGUUGUGACCGCGGCCGCGCGGACGGCGAUGGCGGUUGUGGCGCGGCCCCUUGCGCUAUGUGGGUUUGUUUUCUACUCCCAUUAAUGUUUUUGUUCAAUUCUCCUUGUUAUUUUUCCUUUCCUCGACGUCGCAUGCAGUGUCGUUGUUAUAUGUACCUCUUCUCCUUGCGGCUACGCUUUGUUCGCCAACCGCAGAAGAAGGUAGAAGACGGGGUAUACUCUAGGGCCGUCCUUUUAACAUCGUUUAGCGCGCCUAGAGAAAGAAGUAAAAACGACCCUUUAGCACGCUUACAGAUCAGAUCGAUUGACUAAUAUAACAAUUAUAUUGGAAAACCCAAAAUGAGGACUAUGAUGGACCCCAACAACGGAUAACUAACCCGUACGUGGGACGAACAUGAUUAUAACUUGAAGGUAAAGACAAUAGAAAACACUCGGUUAUACAAGUCAUAGUUACAAAACC
rnacentral:rRNA from 1 species